GGCUCUGGCAGGUCAUAGCAGGACGGCUCUGGCUGGUCAUGGCAGGACGGCUCUGGCUGGUCAUGGCAGGACGGCUCUGGCUGGUCAUGGCAGGACGGCUCUGGCUGGUCAUGGCAGGACGGCUCUGGCUGGUCAUGGCAGGACGGCUCUGGCUGGUCAUGGCAGGACGGCUCUGGCUGGUCAUUUCAGGACGGCUCUGGCUGGUCAUGGCAGGACGGCUCUGUAGGAAGGAGAAGGAGAGACAGCCUGGUGCGUGGUCUAGGCACUGGCUGCGCUGGAGAGGAGGAAACAGCUGGAGAGAGAACCCGGAGAGACAGCCUGGUACGGGGGGCUGCCACCGGAGGACUGGUACAUGGAGGUGGCACCGGGUCUACCGGACCGUGAAGGAGGACACGUGCUCUUGAGCACCGAGCCUCCCCAACCCUACCAGGUUGAAUGGUCCCCGUAGCCCUGCCAGUGUGGCGAGGUGGAAUAGCCCGCACUGGGCUAUGCAGGCGAACCGGGGACACCACCUGUAAGGCUGGUGCCAUGUACGCCGGCCCGAGGAGACGUACUGGAGGCCAGAUACGUUGGGCCGGCUUCAUGACAUCCGGCUCGAUGCCCAACCUAGCCCUCCCAGUGCGGCAAGGUGGAAUAGCCCGCACUGGGCUAAGCACGCGUACUGGGGACACCGUGCGCUUUACCGCAUAACACGGUGUCUUACCAGUACGACGCCUUCUACCUCCACGGUAAGCACGGAGAGUUGGCUCGGGUAUCCUACCCGGCUUUGCCACACUCCUCGUGUGCCCCCCCCCCCCCAAGAAAUUUUUGGGUCUGACUCACGGGCUCCCAACCGCGUCGCCGCGCUGCCUCCUCAUACCAGCGCCUCUCAGCCUUCGCUGCUCCCAACUCCUCCUUGGGACGGCGAUAUUCCCCUGGCUGAGCCCAAGGUCCUCUACCAUCCAGGAUCUCCUCCCAAGUCCAGGAGUCCUUGUUGCUCUGUUGAGCAUUCCCUUGCCGCUUGGUCUUAGCGUGGUGGGUGAUUCUGUAAGGGCUGUCUCUCUCUUCAUCCUCGGACGAGGAGAGGAGAGAAGGAUCAUCAGACCAAAAUGCAGCAUUCGGGAAAUAAGCCAUCUUUUUAUUAUUAACGACGGCAACACGAAACAAAACACUUUCGAAUAUACAAAAACAAGAAAACGACGUUGACGAAACCUGAACAUAAACUUACAUAACUAAACGUAAACUCACGGACAGGAAACAGACGACAUCAAAAUAAACGAACAGCCAAACAGUCCCGUAUGGUACAUACAUUCGACGACACAGGAGACAAUCACCCACAAACAAACAGUGAGAACACCCUACCUAAAUAUGACUCUUAAUUAGAGGAGAACGCAAAACACCUGCCUCUAAUUAAGAGCCAUACCAGGCAACCAAAACCAACAUAGAAACAGAAAACAUAGACUGCCCACCCAAAACUCACGCCCUGACCAUAAACACAUACAAAAACAACAUAAAACAGGUCAGGACCGUUACAGAUGCUCUCGAUUGUGCAUCUGUAGAAGUUUGUGAGUGCUUUUGGUGACAAGCCGAAUUUCUUCAGACUCAGAACGCUGUCUGUGUGGGUGGACCAAUUCAGUUUGUCCGUGAUGUGUACGCCGAGGAACUUAAAACUUACUACCCUCUCCACUACUGUCCCGUCGAUGUGGAUUGGGGGGUGCUCCCUCUGCUGUUUCCUGAAGUCCACAAUCAUCUCCUUUGUUUUGUUGACGUUGAGUGCAAGGUUAUUUUCCUGACACCACACUCCGAGGGCCCUCACCUCCUCCUUGUAGGCCGUCUUGUCGUUGUUGGUAAUCAAGCCUACCACUGUAGUGUCGUCCGCAAACUUGAUGAUUGAGUUGGAGGCGUGCAUGGCCACACAGUCGUGGGUGAACAGGGAGUACAGGGGAGGGCUCAGAACGCACCCUUGUGGGGCCCCAGUGUUGAGGAUCAGCGGGGUGGAGAUGUUGUUACCUACCCAAUUUCCUGAGCAUCUGAUAAUAUUCUGCCUCUCCCUCCUGUGGGAGGCAACCUUUGGAUCCUACUGAAAAACACAAAACAAUCAAUAUAUUUCAAAAUGUCAGUACAUGUGUAACCGAUGUGAAAUGGCUAGCUAGUUAGCGGUGGUGCGCGCCAAUAGCGUUUCAAUCGGUGACGUCACUCGCUCUGAAACCUUGAAGUAGUUGUUCCCCUUGCUCUGCAAGGGCCGCGGAUUUUGUGGCGCGAUGGGUAACGAUGUUUCGUGGGUGUCAGUUGUGGAUGUGUGCAGAGGGUCCCUGGUUCGAGUCCAGGUAGGGGCGAGGAGAGGGACGGAAGCUAUGCUGUUACAUUGAUGCUGUGUGUGUCUGUAUGUUGGUCCAAGUCAACUUGAAACGCUAUUGGCGCGCACCACCGCUAACUACAUUGAUGCUGUUGCUGCGGAAAAGGAGGAGGUCAAAAGGGGGGUGAGUGUAACCGAUGUGAAAUGGCUAGCUAGUUAGCAGGGUGCGCGCUAAUAGCGUUUCAAUCGGUGACGUCACUCGCUCUAAGACCUUGAAGUAGUUCUGAACAUACUGUAUUGUACUGUAAUAUGUAGUUCAAUUAUCAUGAUCAAUUAUCAGAAAACCUGUUGUUUUGCCGGAAAAUGUGUACUAUUGAUAAAACUGUUGAAUGCUGCAGAUUUGGUUGCACCCUUAAACCGGCCUCUCUCAAAGAGAGACCAUGGUUUACACCAUGGUCAAUAAUUGUGUCACUUAUCUCAUCAGAGACCACCGCUCUUGGUGUUCCUCUCCUUUGUCCUACACGCAUUCUGCCUCUCCCUGCCACUCUUCUUUCCCCAGCAACCUGUCUUCCUUGAUCCAUGUUUCCAAACUAAAUCAUUCCGAAGCCGUCCUCUUUUGUCUGUUUGGUAACGAGACUAAAAACAGGACACUGAGUAGGCUUUUAGCUGAAAUGGCAAUCAGCUGUGUUUGGAAUGAUUAAAUAUUCUGCUGAGAUUUUCUAUAUGUUUCAAUCUGGUUACUGCAUAAAUGCACGACAUCUGCCAUCAUUCAGUUUUUAAUGUGUUUUUAACAGUUUUGGAAACAGUGUGUUAGCAUUUGAAAACGUGCUGCAAAUAUAUAGUUUUGCAGGUGGUGGAGUAUGAAUGAGAAAAAAGAGUUCAUGGAUUUCGGAGAAUGCGGUCAUUGAAUGCAUUCUGUGUGAAAGCAAUGAAAAAUGAUUCACAGUUUGGUCCACAUACACUUCUGCUUUGCUGACUGUGUGAAGAGUUUUGACAAUGUGACUUCAGUUUUGACCAAUGCAUGUUAGCAAUUGAAAAAAAACUGUAAUUGAAAUGCAUUCCAGAUGUCUACCUCAUAAAGCUGGUUGAGAGAAUGCCAAGAGUGUGCAAAGCUGUCAUCAAGGCAAAGGGUGGCUUUUUUGAAGAAUCUCAAAUAUAAAAUACGUUUAGAUUUGUUUAACACUUUUUUGCUUACUACAUUAUUCCAUAUGUGUUGUUUCAUAUUUUUGAUGUCUUCACUAUUAUUCUACAAACCUCUUAAAUGAGUAGGUGUGUCCAAACUUUUGACUGGUACUAUAUAUGGUAGAGGUAAAGUGACUAGGCAACAGGACAGAUAAUAAACAGUAGAUGCAACAUAUGUGAUGAGUGUGUGUGGUGACAGUAUGCCCGUGUGCCUGUAUAUGUUUUGUGUGAGUGAGUGUCUGUGUGUGUGUGUGUAUGUGUUGGAGUGCCAGUGUUAGUUUGUGUGAGUGUGGGGGAGAGUCCAGUGUGUGUGCUUAGAGUCAAAAUAGUUAGUGCAAAAAAUCUAAUGUCUAUAUGUGUACAUGUGUGUGUAUGUGUGUUUGUGUGUGUGUUGGUAUGUGUGUAUGUGUGUGUUGGUGUUUGUGUCUGUGUUUGUGUGUGUGUGUGUGUGUGGGCGUAUGAGUGUGUUGGUGAUUGUGUGUUUGUGUGUUUGUGCGUGUGGGUGUGUGUGUGUGUGCAUGCGCCAAUGUAGGCCAGCGAUGGGCAGUGCCAGCGAUGGGCACACACACACACACACACACAGACACACACAAACUCUACCUGUGUGCAGUACAGGUGUGUUAAUAAUACUUUUUUGAUAAUACAAUUUGCUUUACCAUGACAUGCAUACAAAAACCAUGGGAACUGUUUCCAUUGAUAGAUUCUAUUAUGUCUACAAUCACAGACAAUGUACAGAUGGAACUGUAGAAACAUGGAUGUCUACUCUGUACUUGUCCAACCAAUAAUGUAUAUAUACACUAGAUAAGUCACGAGGGGGCUUUUUUUUUUUCAAGGAACGCAAUCCGGCUUUUAACUUACACCUAAAAGUUGUAAUAGUAGAACGCACAAGGUGCAAUUUUGACAUUUUUUAGUGCAUCAUCUGUUUAUCUUUUGUUAUGUCAGUCAUUGCAUACCUUAGAGAUCGAUGUAUAACUUGUCAGAAAUGUCCAGAUCAACAAGCCCAUGUCAGCGAAUGGUUUUUAGUUAGGUUUUAUUGCCCAUAGAUUUUGUUGUAAUGCUUGAGUCACUCAAAUAUCACAUGAAUACACAUACAGACAUGGCACCAUUUAUAGAACUGUUUAAACCUGCAAAAUGUUCUCUCCACCAACAAGAGGGGUGUGAACAGUUUGUGUCAUGAACAGUGCUUGUGCCCAUAGAAAUAGACGUGGCGUGCGAGCGCAGUGGGGACGCGCGAUGUUCCCCAAUGCUGGAAGGUGGGUCUGAGUGAAAACGUUAGGGAACUCCUGCACUAGGUGACUGACAGGGGGGCGCUGUUUUGAAGCUUUCGCGCCUCCAUCUGGGCACUCCCCCACCAUUGCAAAAAAUAUUUUGGAAGCUAUCGAAAUGCAUUUAUUAAUGUCUGCAUUUGUUUUUGCCACGUUUAUUCUAUUAUUCCAUCAUUGGCCAAUACAUAGCAUCAGCAAUCCAGGGUUUAUAUACAUCAACGAGUACAACUUAAUGUGAAACCUUUUUCCCUUGACUGGCUGCCGCUCAGUCCCAGCCCUUUCCUUUAGUCUGUGGGUCAACAGAUCCCAAGUGUUCCUCUCUUUCUCUCCCAGGCGUGUCUCAUUCAGGGGACUACCAGGGCUUUGAUGGAGCUCUGGGCCUGUGUCUGUGCAGGGAACCCCCAGAGAGAGCGGUGUGUGGGGGCUGGUGUAGGAGCAGGCCCAGUUGGCACUGCAUUUAGUGUGUGCUGCUGUAGACUUGCAGCUGGUCUAUAGCAACUUUGAAGGCCAGGUGAACGUUUAAGGGAGUGUGAUCAAACGCUUGGACUCCCAGGGGACCUUGCAGUGUGACGGUCGCCACAAUGUCUCCCUUCCUGUGUACACAGUGCAGGCAAGUGAUGCAGAGUACCUUGGUCUCCUCAAUGACGUCCCAGCGGAGAUUCAGAAGUUAUGUCCAGAGAAAAGCAACUCAACAGGUG